rnacentral:rRNA from 1 species
UUUCCUACGGGAGGCAGCAGUGGGAAUAUUGGGCAUUGGGCGCAAGCCUGACCCAGCAACGCCGCGUGAAGGAAGAAGGCUUUCGGGUUGUAAGCUUCUUUUAAGAGGGAAGAGAAGAAGACGGUACCUCUUGAAUAAGCCACGGCUAACUACGUGCCAGCAGCCGCGGUAAUACGUAGGUGGCGAGCGUUAUCCGGAAUGAUUGGGCGUAAAGGGUGCGUAGGCGGCCUGCUAAGUCUGGAGUGAAAGGUACCGGCUCAACCGGUACAGGCUCUGGAAACUGGCGGGCUAGAGAGCAGGAGAGG